rnacentral:rRNA from 1 species
ACAUUAAAGCUAGCCUGUAUACCUAACCUUAAACCUAACCUUAUUAAUUACCUUAUACACAAAUCCAUAAUUAAAACAUUUUACAUUUUUAGUAUGGGCGACAGAACAAAAACUCAGCGCAAUAGACCAUGUACCGCAAGGGAAAGCUGAAAAAGAAAUGAAAUAAAUAAUUAAAGUAACAAAAAGCAGAGAUUUAACCUCGUACCUUUUGCAUCAUGAUUUAGCUAGAAAAACUAGACAAAGAGAUCUUAAGCCUAUCCCCCCGAAACUAAACGAGCUACUCCGAAGCAGCAUAAAUAGAGCCAACCCGUCUCUGUGGCAAAAGAGUGGGAAGACUUCCGAGUAGCGGUGACAAACCUAUCGAGUUUAGUGAUAGCUGGUUGCCUAAGAAAAGAACUUUAAUUCUGCAUUAAUUCCUUCAUCACCAAAAAGUCUAUCUUAUUAAGGUCAAACAUAAAAAUUAAUAGUUAUUCAGAAGAGGUACAGCCCUUCUGAACCAAGAUACAACUUUUAAAGGCGGAAAAUGAUCAUAUUUACCAAGGUUUCUACCUCAGUAGGCUCAAAAGCAGCCACCUGUAAAGUAAGCGUCACAGCUCCAGUUCCUCGAAAACCUAUAAUUUAGAUAUUUUCUCAUAACCCCCUUAACCCAUAUUAGGCUAUUUUAUAAAAUUAUAAAAGAACUUAUACUAAAAUGAGUAAUAAGAGAACAAACCUCUCCAGACACGAGUGUAUGUUAGAAAGAAUUAAAUCACUAACAAUUAAACGAACCCAGAUUGAGGCUAUUAUAUUAACAUUACUUUAACUAGAAAAUCCUAUUACAUUACUCGUUAACCCUACACAGGAGUGUCUUAUGGAAAGAUUAAAAGAAAAUAAAGGAACUCGGCAAACACAAACUCCGCCUGUUUACCAAAAACAUCGCCUCUUGAAUAUUAUAAGAGGUCCCGCCUGCCCUGUGACAAUGUUUUAACGGCCGCGGUAUUUUGACCGUGCAAAGGUAGCGUAAUCACUUGUCUUUUAAAUGAAGACCCGUAUGAAAGGCAUCACGAGAGUUUAACUGUCUCUAUUUUCUAAUCAAUGAAAUUGAUCUACUCGUGCAGAAGCGAGUAUAAUCACAUCAGACGAGAAGACCCUAUGGAGCUUCAAACACAUAAAUUAACUACAUAAAUUAAUUAUUCCACGGAUAUAAAUAAAAAUAUAGUACCUUUAAUUUAACUGUUUUUGGUUGGGGUGACCAAGGGGAAAAACAAAUCCCCCUUAUCGACUGAGUACUCAAGUACUUAGAAAUUAGAUUUACAAUUCUAAUUAAUAAAAUAUUUAUCGAACAAUGACCCAGGAUUUCCUGAUCAAUGAACCAAGUUACCCUAGGGAUAACAGCGCAAUCCUUUCUCAGAGUCCCUAUCGCCGAAAGGGUUUACGACCUCGAUGUUGGAUCAGGACAUCCUAAUGAUGCAACCGUUAUUAAGGGUUCGUUUGUUCAACGAUUAAUAGUCCUACGUGAUCUGAGUUCAGACCGGAGAAAUCCAGGUCAGUUUCUAUCUAUGAAUUAAUUUUUCCUAGUACGAAAGGACCGGAAAAAUGGAGCCAAUACCCCAGGCACGCUCCAUUUUCAUCUAUUGUAAUAAACUAAAAUAGAUAAGAAAAAAUUAUCUAUUACCCAAGAAAAGGGUUG